UACGAAGGGGGCUAGCGUUGUUCGGAAUUAUUGGGCGUAAAGGGCGCGUAGGCGGUGCGGUAAGUCACCUGUGAAAUCUCCUGGCUCAACUGGAGCUUGCAGGCGAAACUGCCGUGCUGGAGUGUGGGAGAGGUGCGUGGAAUUCCGGUGUAGCGGUGAAAUGCGUAGAUAUCGGAGGAACACCUGUGGCGAAAGCGGCGCACUGGACCACAACUGACGCUGAGGCGCGAAAGCUAGGGGAGCAAACAGG
rnacentral:rRNA from 1 species